UACGUAGGGGCCGAGCGUUGUCCGGAGUUACUGGGCGUAAAGCGCGCGCAGGCGGCUCGUCAAGCCUGACGUGAAAGCCCCCGGCUCAACCGGGGAGGGUCGUCGGGGACUGGCGGGCUUGAGGUCGGCAGGGGCUGGUGGAAUUCCCGGUGUAGUGGUGAAAUGCGUAGAGAUCGGGAGGAACACCAGUGGCGAAGGCGGCUCACUGGUCCGGUACUGACGCUGAGGUGCGAAAGCGUGGGGAGCAAACAGG
rnacentral:rRNA from 1 species